GUUAGGAGGUGGCGGUGGGGUGGGUUGGGAUGGUGAGCAGGGGUGUGGGCAGUGGUGGAUAUGGGUGGGGUAAGGGUUAGGGGUAAAGCUGUUUUUUUUUUUGUUUUUUUAUUGACUUUUCCAACGGAAAUUUCCGUCGGAAUAUACUUCUUCCGACGGAAAUUUCCGUCGGAAAAGUCUCCAACUCCGACGGAAAAUUCCGUAGGAAAAUUGCGACGGAAUUUCAAUUAAAGUCAAAAAAGCGCCGACAGAAAUAAUUCCGUCUGAAACUAGCCUUCCGAUAGAAAUUCCGUCGGAAAAGGUCGAAUUUCCUACAAAGGGUUUAGCGAUAGACACAUUCCGACGGAAUUCCGUCGGAAGCCCAUUUUCCGACGGAAUUUCCGAUGUUUUCGAUGGAUUUUUUCCGUCGGAAUCAAGCUGUUUUCUUGUAGUGAUGAGAAAUAUUUGAAAAACCAAGGAGGAAACGGUUCAAACAAAGGUAAAAUCUCUAACCAAAUUAGCUUUUUGGAAAGAAAAUGAGCAUCGAUAUAAAGGCCUUUCUCAUUUGGCUAGAGAUAUUUUGGUCGUGCUCCUGACAACCGUCACUUCCGAAUCAACUUUCAGCAUUGGGAGUCGAGUAUUGAAUAAAUGGAAAAGUUCAUCAAUUCCUGAAAAUGUGGAGGCUUUAAUAACAACUCGUAGUUGGAUGUACUCUUUUGAAACAAAUGAGGAUGAUGGAUUUUUUGGUUCUUAUGUGGAUUGGCGCGGCGGCUCCAAGUGUUAACUGUCAACAAUUUUAAGAGUCGAAUAUAGGAGUAUAAUUAUUUAGAAUAUUUUGUAAUUUUAUUUGGUAUUGAACAUUAUGUUAUGUACGCAUUAUUAUUGUACUAUUUUUUUUCUAGACUUGUGAGAAUUGUAACUUUUAUUUCAAGCUUUAGUAAUUUUUUUCUUAAUCUUA